GCCAGACUCCUACGGGAGGCAGCAGUGAGGAAUAUUGGUCAAUGGGCGGGAGCCUGAACCAGCCAAGUCGCGUGAGGGAUGACGGCCCUAUGGGUUGUAAACCUCUUUUGCCGGGGAGCAAAGUGCCGCACGUGUGCGGUUUGGAGAGUACCCGGAGAAAAAGCAUCGGCUAACUCCGUGCCAGCAGCCGCGGUAAUACGUAGGGGGCAAGCGUUAUCCGGAUUUACUGGGUGUAAAGGGGGCGCAGACGGCAGCGCAAGCCAGGAGUGAAAGCCCGGGGCCCAACCCCGGGACUGCUCUUGGAACUGCGCGGCUGGAGUGCAGGAGGGGCAGGCGGAAUUCCUGGUGUAGCGGUGAAAUGCGUAGAUAUCAGGAGGAACACCGGUGGCGAAGGCGGCCUGCUGGACUGCGACUGACGUUGAGGCCCGAAAGCGUGGGGAGCAAACAGGAUUAGAUACCCCAGUAGA
rnacentral:rRNA from 1 species